AUCCGUUCUGGUGCCUUUCAAAUUCAGAGCACGUCAGUGACAGUCAUGAUUCAAUAGUCAGGGAAAUGGGUUCCAUUUCUCACUGGAAAAAUGCAGACUCCUAAGACAAGCGGCAGGUCACAGAGACUAACCUGCCCAGCCACUGGCCACACCAACCUCCUCUACCCUACUCUUCAGAGUAGAUGACCCCACUUCAGGGGCUCUGCUUCACACCCACAGGCGAGUCACACUGCAUAGAAAGGGAUGUGACACCAACUUGGGGGUGCAGAUGUUCUUGUGCUCAGGACUCCUCCAGAGCAGACUUCACCCACUGCAUCUCUCCAUCUGGCUGCUGACUUGUGUCUUUUAAAAUAUCCUUUACAAUGCACCAGUAAAUUACCGGGGAUCGGACUCACGACUGACUGCUUGCAAGCAGGUGCUUAUGCCGCUGAGCUAAAUCCCCAGCCCAACCUGGAAAAUUCGGAUCCCAAAAUUCGACUUAUGGCCUCAAUUAUUCAAGUACUUGACUGCAUCCAUUAAAACACAGAGCAAAGAUCAUUUUCCUUUGGACUGUGCAAGAGAACAUCUUGGGGCCGAAAGCACUUUUCUUUCCUCUUUGAGUCUGCAUUCAUUCAGGCCUUCAUCCAGCUGCCCACCCGUCUCUCCAAUUUAACAAACUUCCAAAACAAACAUAACGCAUCAUAGAUUCUUGGCCUUUCCUGUGUCAUGGUUUACCUCUGCUCUGAGUACUGGUGGAUGACAAAAAUAAAGAAGGUGGUUUGAAUUCUUUGGGCACCAAACCACACUGGAGAAAUGGU